rnacentral:rRNA from 1 species
GAGAGGAAGGUCCCCCACAUUGGAACUGAGACACGGUCCACUCCUACGGGAGGCAGCAGUGAGGAAUAUUGGUCAAUGGGCGAGAGUCUGAACCAGCCAAGUAGCGUGAAGGCUGAGGGCCCUCGGAUUGUAAACUUCUUUUAAAGGGAAUAAACCCUCCCACGUGUGGGAGCUUGUAUGUACCUUAUGAAUAAGCAUCGGCUA